AUGGCAUGGCCGAAGAAUCUUGGUGGCUUGGGUUUUCGUGAUUUAGAAAUCUUCAAUCUCGCUCUAUUGUCUAGGCAAGCAUGACGGAUUUUUAAUGAGCCAAACUCAUCGAGCGCUCUAAUUUUAAGAGCAACCUACUUCCCCUCUUGUACUGUUCUAGAAGUAGAACUGGGUCCUCACCCGUCGCAAGUUUGGCACAACGUGGCUGACGGUCUUGAUUAA
rnacentral:rRNA from 1 species